rnacentral:rRNA from 1 species
UACGUAGGUGGCAAGCGUUGUCCGGAUUUACUGGGCGUAAAGAGCGCGCAGGCGGUCGUACAAGUCGCGUGUGAAAGCCCCCGGCUCAACUGGGGAGGGUCACGCGAUACUGUUCGACUCGAAGGCAGGAGAGGGAAGCGGAAUUCCCGGUGUAGUGGUGAAAUGCGUAGAUAUCGGGAGGAACACCAGUGGCGAAGGCGGCUUCCUGGCCUGUUCUUGACGCUGAGGCGCGAAAGCUAGGGUAGCAAACAGG